rnacentral:rRNA from 1 species
UACGUAGGUGGCAAGCGUUGUCCGGAUUUACUGGGCGUAAAGAGCGCGCAGGCGGUCGAUUAAGUCGAAUGUGAAAGCCCCCGGCUCAACUGGGGAGGGUCAUUCGAUACUGAUCGACUUGAAGGCAGGAGAGAGAAGUGGAAUUCCCGGUGUAGUGGUGAAAUGCGUAGAUAUCUGGAGGAAUACCGGUGGCGAAGGCGGCAUCCUGGACCGACAUUGACGCUGAUGAGCGAAAGCUAGGGGAGCAAACGGG